ACAUUUUCCGUAAGGGUGACCUGCGGAGGGAUCAUUACACAAAUAUGAAGGCGGGCUGGAACCUCUCGGGGUUACAGCCUUGCUGAAUUAUUCACCCUUGUCUUUUGCGUACUUCUUGUUUCCUUGGUGGGUUCGCCCACCACUAGGACAAACAUAAACCUUUUGUAAUUGCAAUCAGCGUCAGUAACAAAUUAAUAAUUACAACUUUCAACAACGGAUCUCUUGGUUCUGGCAUCGAUGAAGAACGCAGCGAAAUGCGAUAAGUAGUGUGAAUUGCAGAAUUCAGUGAAUCAUCGAAUCUUUGAACGCACAUUGCGCCCUUUGGUAUUCCAAAGGGCAUGCCUGUUCGAGCGUCAUUUGUACCCUCAAGCUUUGCUUGGUGUUGGGCGUCUUGUCUCUAGCUUUGCUGGAGACUCGCCUUAAAGUAAUUGGCAGCCGGCCUACUGGUUUCGGAGCGCAGCACAAGUCGCACUCUCUAUCAGCAAAGGUCUAGCAUCCAUUAAGCCUUUUUUUCAACUUUUGACCUCGGAUCAGGUAGGGAUACCCGCUGAACUUAAGCAUAUCAAAAAACCGGGAAGAAAAAC
rnacentral:rRNA from 1 species